AACGAACGCUGGCGGCAUGCCUAACACAUGCAAGUCGAACGAGACCUUCGGGUCUAGUGGCGCACGGGUGCGUAACGCGUGGGAACCUGCCCUUAGGUUCGGAAUAACUCUCCGAAAGGGGUGCUAAUACCGGAUAAUGUCUUCGGACCAAAGAUUUAUCGCCUUUGGAUGGGCCCGCGUUGGAUUAGCUAGUUGGUAGGGUAAAAGCCUACCAAGGCGACGAUCCAUAGCUGGUCUGAGAGGAUGAUCAGCCACACUGGGUCUGAGACACGGCCCAGACUCCUACGGGAGGCAGCAGAGGGGAAUAUUGGACAAUGGGCGAAAGCCUGAUCCAGCAAGGCCGCGUGAGUGAUGAAGUCCUUAGGGUUGUAAAGCUCUUUUACCCGGGAUGAUAAUGACAGUACCGGGAGAAUAAGCUCCGGCUAACUCCGUG
rnacentral:rRNA from 1 species